rnacentral:tmRNA from 1 species
GGGACUGAUAGGCUUUCUACGCGUUUAUUAGACUAAAAUAUGAGCAAAAUAUUAUUAUGUUAAGUACAUGAUUUUAUUAAUUAUACUUUUAAUUGCAAAACACAAUAUUAUAGCUUUCUCAAGAAAUCUAGUAAAUGUAUAGGUAAUCUUGAUUUAAAACAUAUUGCUUAAUAUGAAUUUAUUUUUUCUAGCUGCCCUAUAAUUCUCAGUUUUAAUUAAAUCUACUUUUGAAUAUAUUUAGUUAAGUAAAAAUUGUUAUGAGUUUAUCAAAAAACUGAUCUUUAUUUAGUUAAUUAAUAAACGUGGACGUGGGUUCAAAUCCCACCAGUUCCA